rnacentral:rRNA from 1 species
UACAGAGGUCUCGAGCGUUAAUCGGAGUCACUGGGCUUAAAGGGUGCGUAGGCGGUUCCGUAAGUGCUUUGUGAAAUCCCAUGGCUUAACCAUGGAAUGGCUUGGCAUACUGCGGAACUUGAGGUUGGUAGGGGUCGCUGGAACUCUAGGUGGAGCGGUGAAAUGCGUAGAUAUCUAGAGGAACGCCAAAGGUGAAGACAGGCGACUGGGCCAAUUCUGACGCUGAGGCACGAAAGCGUGGGGAGCGAAC